rnacentral:rRNA from 1 species
UACGUAGGAGGCAAGCGUUAUCCGGAAUUAUUGGGCGUAAAGAGCUCGUAGGCGGUUUGUCGCGUCUGCCGUGAAAGUCCGGGGCUCAACUCCGGAUCUGCGGUGGGUACGGGCAGACUAGAGUGAUGUAGGGGAGACUGGAAUUCCUGGUGUAGCGGUGAAAUGCGCAGAUAUCAGGAGGAACACCGAUGGCGAAGGCAGGUCUCUGGGCAUUAACUGACGCUGAGGAGCGAAAGCAUGGGGAGCGAACAGG